AUUGAACGCUGGCGGCAGGCCUAACACAUGCAAGUCGAACGCGUGGCGGACGGGUGAGUAAUGUCUGGGAAACUGCCCGAUGUAGGGGGAUAACUCCUGUAAACGGUAUCUAAUACCGCAUACCCUCUGAUGUGCCCAGAUGGGAUUUGCUCGUAGGUGGGGUAACGGCUCACCUAGGCGACGAUCCCUAGCUGGUCUGAGAGGAUGACCAGCCACACUGGAACUGAGACACGGUCCAGACUCCUACGGGAGGCAGCAGUGGGGAAUAUUGCACAAUGGGCGCAAGCCUGAUGCAGCCAUGCCGCGUGUAUGAAGAAGGCCUUCGGGUUGUAAAGUACUUUCAGCGGGGAGGCGUUACCCGCAGAAGAAGCACCGGCUAACUCCGUGCCAGCAGCCGCGGUAAUAC
rnacentral:rRNA from 1 species